rnacentral:rRNA from 1 species
GACGAACGCUGGCGGCGUGCUUAACACAUGCAAGUCGAACGGAAAGGCCCUGCUUUUGUGGGGUGCUCGAGUGGCGAACGGGUGAGUAACACGUGAGUAACCUGCCCUGGACUUUGGGAUAACUUCAGGAAACUGGGGCUAAUACCGGAUAGGAGCUCCUGCUGCAUGGUGGGGGUUGGAAAGUUUCGGCGGUUGGGGAUGGACUCGCGGGUUAUCAGCUUGUUGGUGGGGUAGUGGCUUACCAAGGCUUUGACGGGUAGCCGGCCUGAGAGGGUGACCGGCCACAUUGGUACUGAGAUACGGCCCAGACUCCUACGGGAGGCAGCAGUGCGGAAUAUUGCACCAUGGGCGGAAGCCUGAUGCAGCAACGCCGCGUGCGGGAUGACGGCCUUCGGGUUGUAAACCGCUUUCGCCUGUGACGAAGCGUUAGUGACGGUAAUGGGUAAAGAAGCACCGGCUAACUACGUG